GACGAACGCUGGCGGCGUGCUUAACACAUGCAAGUCGAACGGUAAGGCCCUGCUUUUGUGGGGUGCUCGAGUGGCGCACAGGUGUGUAACACGUGAGUAACCUGUCCUUGAGUUUGGGAUAACUUCAUGAAAAUGGGGCUAUUACAGGAUAUGAGAUCCUUCUACAUGGUUGUUGUUUGUCAGUUUCGUCGUUUGGGGAUGGAAAUGUGGCUAAUCAUUUUGUUGGUUGGGUAGUGUGUUAAAAAGGCUUUGACGGGUUGCCGGACUGAGACGGUGACAGGCCACAUAAGGACUGAGAAGCGGCCAAGACGCCUACUGGAGGCAGCAGUGAAGAAUAGUGCGAAAUGGGCGGAAGCAUUAAGCAGCAACGCCGCGUGCGAGAUGACGGUCUGCGGGUUAUAAACCGCGUGAGCCUGUAAAGAAGAGUGAGUGACGGUAAUUAGUAAAAAAGCACCGGCUAACUACGUG
rnacentral:rRNA from 1 species